rnacentral:misc_RNA from 1 species
GGAAGGAUCAUUACCACAUCCAAAACUUAUCCACCCACUUGUGUGCACUGUUCUUCUCCCACUUUUGUCGACCACGCGCGCUCGCGCACGCGGAAGACAAGAGCGAGAAGCUUGUUCAACAAACCACUUGUCAAACCUUACAAUUUUUCCACAAUGAAAAACAAAAACAAAAACGAAACUUGAGAGACAACUUUUAACGAUGGAUCUCUUGGCUCGUGCAUCGAUGAAGAACGCAGCAAGCUGCGAUACGUAAUGUGAAUUGCAGAAUUCAGUGAAUCAUCGAAUCUUUGAACGCAAAUGGCGCUGGCGAGAGAUCGCUAGCAUGCCUGUCUGAGUGUCAUUUCUAUCCACCUUGUCCUUGGGCUGCCUAAAAAACAGCACAGCGACAGUGUUGAGGUUGUCACGCUCUUUUCUUCUUUUUUUUUAAAAAAAGGAAGAAAAAGGCGCGUCCCUUGAAAAAUGGCGACGGCGCAAACCUGCUUUUGCGUUUCUUUUUCUCGAAAAAGAAGCGCAAAAGCCACGUUUCUACAUUUUUUUUCUUCUUUUCCUUCUUCGGAAGUAAGAAAAGAAAGAAAAAAAAUACUCCUGGCUCGCAAACCCACCUCCGCCACUGCAAAAAGCUUUGUUUUUACCUCGGGUAAAAAAUGUUUUUGCGUGUGUCAUUAGAAGGACGCUUCCGGGCAUCUUUUUUUAAUUUCAUGCAAAACCACAUUGAGUCACCUUCGAGCGAGAAGCUUUUAUUUCAAUGCAGUGUGCAGAACCGGGUACGGCGACGCAACAUACAGGGCGAGAGACGCUGCAAUGGCUUUUGCAACUACCAGUCUAAAAAUUACACCUUAAUUUUUGACCUCAGAUCAGACAAGACUACCCGCUGAAUUUAAGCAUAUUAAUAAGCGGAGGAAAAGAAACUAACAAGGAUUCCCUCAGUAACGGCGAGUGAAGCGGGAAGAGCUCAAAUUUGAAAUCUCCGGGGUCCCCUCGGCGAAUUGUAGUUUCGAGAAACGUUUUCUGGGGACGCGGCCGGCCUAAGUUCCUUGGAACAGGGCAUCAGAGAGGGUGAGAAUCCCGUUCUGGCUGCGCCGCGGCUCCGCUACGAGGCGUUCUCUAAGAGUCGGGUUGUUUGUGAAUGCAGCCCAAAAUGGGUGGUAAAUUUCAUCUAAAGCUAAAUAUUGGCACGAGACCGAUAGCGAACAAGUACUGUGAAGGAAAGAUGAAAAGCACUUUGAAAAGAGAGUUAAAAGCACGUGAAAUCGUUAAAAGGGAACCGAUUGAGGGCAGCAGUGCUUUCACCGUAAUCAGCCACGCGUCUGGAGGGUCCGGGGCGGCAACAGCGCAAGCGUGCCGGUUCGGGGGCCGAAGGUGCGGGUGGUGCACUUGCGGGGAGAGCGGGUCAACAUCAGUUUGCCGGGGCGGAGACGGGGCGCGGGCAGGUAACCGUCUACGGGCGGCGAUACAGCCCGCGGCCUUCGCGGCCUGGGAGACUGAGGAAAGACGCAGCGCGGGCCCGUAUGGGCUUGGCCAAGUGCGGGGUGCGUUGACGGGCGGGCCGGGACUGCGUGCAGUGUCGGUGCGAACGGCGGCGUAUGCCUGGAUGCGGCACAACCGUGCUCCGGAUGUUGACGAAAUGGCCUCAAACGACCCGUCUUGAAACACGGACCAAGGAGUCUAACAUAUGCGCGAGUCUUGGGGUGGCAAACCGCCAGGGCGAAAUGAAAGUGAGAGGGGAGAGCCGGCCGCAAGGACGGUGCAUCCUCGACCGAUCUGGAUCCUUUUGUGAAAAAGAUUUGAGUAGGAGCGUAUCUGUUGGGACCCGAAAGAUGGUGAACUAUGCCUGAAUAGGGUGAAGUCAGAGGAAACUCUGAUGGAAGCUCGUAGCGGUUCUGACGUGCAAAUCGAUCGUCAAAUUUGGGUAUAGGGGCGAAAUACUAAUCGAACCAUCUAGUAGCUGGUUCCCAC